AACGAACGCUGGCGGCAUGCCUAACACAUGCAAGUCGAACGAGACCUUCGGGUCUAGUGGCGAACGGGGGCGUAACGCGUGGGAACCUGCCCUUAGGUUCGGAAUAACUCCCCGAAAGGGGUGCUAAUACCGGAUAAUGUCUUCGGCCCAAAGAUUUAUCGCCUUUGGAUGGGCCCGCGUUGGCUUAGCUAGUUGGUAGGGUUAAAGCCUACCAAGGCGACGAUCCAUAGCUGGUCUGAGAGAAUGAGCAGCCACACUGGGACUGAGACACGGCCCAGACUCCUACGCGAGGCGGCAAUGGGGGAUAUUGGACAACGGGCGGAAGCCUGAUCCAGCAAUGCCGCGUGAGUGAUGAAGGCCUUAGGGUUGUAAAGCUCUUUUACCCGGGAUGAUAAUGACAGUACCGUAAGAAUAAGCACCGGCUAACUCCGUG
rnacentral:rRNA from 1 species